GAUGAACGCUGGCGGCGUGCCUAAUACAUGCAAGUCGAGCGAACAGAUAAGGAGCUUGCUCCUUUGACGUUAGCGGCGGACGGGUGAGUAACACGUGGGUAACCUACCUAUAAGACUGGAAUAACUCCGGGAAACCGGGGCUAAUGCCGGAUAACAUUUAGAACCGCAUGGUUCUAAAGUGAAAGAUGGUUUUGCUAUCACUUAUAGAUGGACCCGCGCCGUAUUAGCUAGUUGGUAAGGUAACGGCUUACCAAGGCAGCGAUACGUAGCCGACCUGAGAGGGUGAUCGGCCACACUGGAACUGAGACACGGUCCAGACUCCUACGGGAGGCAGCAGUAGGGAAUCUUCCGCAAUGGGCGAAAGCCUGACGGAGCAACGCCGCGUGAGUGAUGAAGGUCUUCGGAUCGUAAAACUCUGUUAUUAGGGAAGAACAAAUGUGUAAGUAACUGUGCACGUCUUGACGGUACCUAAUCAGAAAGCCACGGCUAACUACGUG
rnacentral:rRNA from 1 species